UACGGGAGGCAGCAGUGAGGAAUAUUGGUCAAUGGAGGGAACUCUGAACCAGCCAUCCCGCGUGUAGGAAGACGGCCUUAUGGGUUGUAAACUACUUUUAUACAGGAAGAAACGUACCCUCGUGAGGGUGCCUGACGGUACUGUAGGAAUAAGCACCGGCUAACUCCGUGCCAGCAGCCGCGGUAAUACGGAGGGUGCGAGCGUUAUCCGGAUUUAUUGGGUUUAAAGGGUCCGUAGGCGGAUUAAUAAGUCAGUGGUGAAAUCCCAUCGCUUAACGAUGGAACUGCCAUUGAUACUGUUAGUCUUGAAUGAGGGUGCAGUGGUUGGAAUGUGUAGUGUAGCGGUGAAAUGCAUAGAUAUUACACAGAACACCGAUUGCGAAGGCAGAUCACUAACCCUAAAUUGACGCUGAGGGACGAAAGCGUGGGGAGCGAACAGGAUUAGAUACCCUGGUAG
rnacentral:rRNA from 1 species